AUUAUUCAAACUAACAAAUAAUUAUUUUGCAAUUAAAAAUCAACGUAGAUCUCAAUAACAAAAUAAUAUAAAAAUUAAGUAUGAAAUUGCAUGAAUAUUAAACUCCCAAAAAUUAAAUAAUAUUUGAUCAAGUCUCACAACCUAUUAAACAACCAAAACUUCAACCAAUAUUCAACUAGAUGAAAGAAAUUCAGCCACUCGUUGGCUGAAUUAAAAACAGAAAAAAAUAAAAAUAAAAAGGGAAAGGAAGGAAAGAACCGAAGAACUUCUGCCUUGUGCCGGACUGCGGAAUUGCUGAAUUAGAAUUGGAAUUGUCUGUCCACUGAAGAGCUCUUUUUAUAAGUGCAGAGGUGCGUCCUAUUUUGGAAUUUCUGGCCACGUGCAGUGAGUCUGCGCGAGAGUGGGCUGCGUCCGUGAGUUUGGAGUGCUGGCCACAUGUGAGGUGCUUGGUCAUGGGCUGUCCAUGUGUGUGGCGGAAUGGAAACGCCUUGGUGGGCCAUGUGCAAGUGAAGGUGCAGGUGUGGGCUGUGGUGUGCGUGAGUGGUGUGGGCCAUGUUGCAAGUGGUUGGUGCAGCCUUGAUCCGCGUGAAGGGAGUGGUGAAGCGCGGGCCAUGGUGGAAGAAUGUUGAAGCGGGCCCAUGGUCCAUGUGAAGUGAAUGGUGAAGGCCAUGAGUGCAAGGUGGAGGCGGGCCAUGUGCGUGAAUAUGAUGAUGCGCUUGGCGGGGCUUGGUCCACUUGGUCCACUGGAGGGAAUGGCGUUGAAGCAGGAGCGUGAGUGGCGGGCGUGAGUGUACUUGGCCCAUUUGAAGUGGGCUGUCCAAGUGCUUGAAUGGCUUUGGCCCAAGCGUGUUGGCGGAAUGGGCUGUCCGUGGCCUUUUUUGCGUGAGUUUGGACUGUCCAAGUGCGUGAAUAUUUAAGCUUCAAAAUAUUUUCCUCUCAUUUAGCUUGACUUGAAUCCAACUUGGCAGGCUUACUCUCUUUUGCUCCAAAUAAGGCAGUUUUAGGGGGGAUUUUCUCCAAAUUGUCCUUUUAUACCAUUUUCUGCAAAAUAAUAUUAAAAGCAAUAAAUUAAGCAGAAAUCGUGUAAAUAUUCAUCAAUAAUAUUAAUAUAAAAUGGACUAAAUUAUGCUCUAUCAAAUACCCCCACACCUUGCCUUUUGCUUGUCCUCAAGCAAAUAAACAUAGUUAAACAAGCUUUCUUACUCUAGAUCCUUAUUUCCACUUAAACUCUUACUCUAGACUCCUAUUUUGAAUCAUUGCAGUGAAGAAUAUAUGCAUGAAGAUUACUCACCUUCUUUCCUUAUUUCCCUUUGCUUACCAUGGCUAGGAUUUCUUUUACUCAAGAGAGAUCAUACAUGCACAUAUUAUUUGUUCAGAUAAGACUUUUUCUAGCUUUCAGAGUGACUUGCCCUUACCUUGAAGUACUUUAUUCAGCUUUUUGCACUUUUAAUUUUGCUUGAACAAGUCACCAACCUUUUGACGUGAAGGUACAUAUUUGUGAUACCCACCCCCAGUUACUCAGUUGGUCACCUGUCCAAGUGGCUACUAGCUCUGUUCAUAGUCUUUUGACCAUUGGAACAGUUUUCAAUUUGUGCUUUUGAAGUCUAAGCCUUUGUGAAUUUCUUUCUCUCAAUGAUUUGGGCAAAUCAACACCAAUUGCUAAAUCAAGUCAUGUUAAGUUCAUUCACAUAAUUUUCAAUUUAUUCUCUCUAAUGAGUGUCAUCAAUAUAUUUUUUACCAUGGCAAACUCAAAGAUUCAAUUCAAAAGGCAAUUUCCAAAUAUGAAUAUAACUCACUACAAUUGAUUCAACAUAAGUUUAAAGAGUCAUCACAUCAAUGGGGUCAUGGAAAGAAAAACUCAUCAACAUAGUUUAUCAGUUUGAGUAGAGCAAAUCAAAAAGAAGAAGAAGGUUGUGGUUGUGUGUGUUUUAUUGAAAGCAUAAACUAAAAAUUGAAAAAAAUCACACUGAAAAUGAAAAUAAAAAUUCAAACUGAAAAUUAAAGCAAAAAUUAAAAAUCCAGAAUUAUGCACCCCCACACCUAAAUCAUGCAUUGUCCUCAAUGUAUGGAAAAUAUUAAAAUGCAAAAGAAACUGAGUACUCCCCUGGGUGUGGUGUGCAUGGUGCGAUCCACUUGAUCAAGGCUCAAGUAAUUGGGGAAGGAAAAAGAGUCCCAACUGCAUUGAGCAAAAAGUGUAGCACUCCUUUUGAUUUGGUCAUAACCCAUCCUAUUUUUUCCAUGUACUCAUGAAGUAACAUAAUUAGCCCUUCCUCUUUCAGAUGAGGUGUGUCUCUAGUCCUUAUGUUUGCAUUUUUGAGCACUUCCAACUUUAAUUCAUAUUUCUCCAUGGCUAGCUGCAAUUUAGUACUAAAAUCUAGCAAAACAAACUCUACCUUAUCCGGAGGUUUGGGAAGGCAUUGGUCUGCAUGAUCCUUUGGUUUAGGUGCUUGGACUUCCACUUAUUCCUUGUGAGCAAGGGUUGUUUGCGUUGGAAGGCUGAAAGGAGUUUCAGAUUGCUACUUCUGCGCAAGAUUUACCUAAAAGGGAUGACUGGAAGGGGUUUUAUGCGAUGGAAGCUGUGGUGAGAGGUUCGGCGGCCAAAAGGUGGUGGAGUUCGGCGGCCGAAAGGUGGUGGUUUCAGUCUGCGCAAGGCUGAUCUGAAGAGGUGCGAUUGGCUCUCCUUUGUUCUGCGCAUGUUUGCAGUCCACCUGUUGGAUGCAACAAUCAGUUUCUUUCAGUUCUGGCUCUUUCUGGCUCUCUUCCCUGCAAAGAUUAUUGUUCAGAAUAUCAUCUUGAUUCAUAUAAAAAACAUCUUUGCUCAAAUAAUCAAUGACAUCUAAAUCAACAACAGGUUCUGUUUGACCAGUUUGUUUGGACAAACAGUUUUCUGGUUGUUUCUCUUCAGCAGCUUGUUUUUGAACUUGCGAACUUUCAUCAUCUUCCUCAUCAUCUUGAAACUCUUCCUCCCUUCUCAACAUGUUUGCAUUUUCUGCGGUGGCAAUCCGCUGUUCGAGGUUUUGUAAAGCACUUACCAUGGACUCCAUCAUCUUUUCAAGGUGCUGGGUGGAAUUUGGAGGUGCUAGUUGGACUUGAUAUCCUUGAUAAUUCUGGUAGUUGUUAGCCUCUGCAUAACUGAAGUUUGGAUAGUCUCCCCAACUUGGAUUGUAUGUGUUAUAGUAUUGAUCAUGUCUUGGCUGUUCAUAGAAUCCUCCAUAUGCAUGUCUAGCCUGACUAUUGAAUAUUUCAAACGCAUGCACUGGUUGGUCAUACUGAUAAAGUGUAGAACAUUGAUCAGUUGGUGUCCCACAUAUCCACAGAUCCUACAUGGCCUUGGUGGCUGGGAUGCUUGAACCUGUUGAACUAGUCUUAUGGCAAAUUCUUUCAUAAAAGAUGUCAGUAAACAAAAAUCAUAUCUAUUUACCUCAUCCAUGAUUCAGAUAUGCGAUGGUGACUGUGCCUUGGUGAGAUGUUCGGCGGCCGAAUGAGGAUGAUGUUCGGCGGCCGAAUGUGUUGCAGAAGGUGCUCCUGUGCAAAAGUGAUCUUCACUCUUUUUUUUUUUUUCAGAUCUGCGAUGAGGUGUUCUUUGGGUUACAAAUCAGGUCCUGAAAGAAAAACAAAUAAGUUAAAUCAAUUCCCCGGCAACGGUGCCAAUGUUUGACUCGCGGUUGUCGAAGCCGGUCAAAAAUAACCUUUCUGGUUAUCAACAAUUUACAACUGCAGAUAGUGGUGAAAGGAUCGAAUCCACAGGAAAUUGAGAACUCACCUAUUUCUUUUUUUUAUGACCAAGAAAAUAAACUGGAACAACAAUAAACUAAAAAUGAGAUAAAAACUGAAAGUGGGAUUAAAUGAGAUAAACUGAAAAUUGGGAUAAAAAACUGUCAACAAAAUAACAGGGGAGUUUGAAAUUGAUUGUAGUAACUAAUAAUGAGAAUAAUAAUAGAAAGUAAAUAAUAAAAUAAAGAGUAAUCAAUAAUGAAAAAGUUCUAGUUGAAGUAUUGGAUCCACUUUAGUUGUUGGGAUUGAUCACAGACACUUGUUCUUUUGGGUUGAUUCAAUAGAUUAGUUAUGGAGAUGGAAGACGCUUCUCACCACCAUUAUCUCUCCUUAUGAUUAAACCAAUUAGGGAACGUCCUCUAAUUAAUUACUAAUUAACAAAUUGCCAAGGAACGUCUUUGGGCCUCAGGCAUCAAAACAAUUGUCAAUUGCAUUAAGAAAUAGAGAGAUCCAAUCCUAGCUAUCCAAAUGUAUAGAGAUAACACUAGAUCAUACAAUUUCCUUGGGUUUUAUCCCAAGUGUUCUCAUGUAAGAAUAAUAUAAGCAAUUACGGACUUAAAUUAUUCAAACUAACAAAUAAUUAUUUUGCAAUUAAAAAUCAAUGUAGAUCUUAAUAACAAAAUAAUAUAAAAAUUAAGUAUGAAAUUGCAUGAAUAUUAAACUCCUAAAAAUUAAAUAAUAUUUGAUCAAGUCUCACAACCCAUUAAACAACUAAAACUUCAACCAAUAUUCAACUAGAUGAAAGAAAUUCAGCCACUCAUUGGCUGAAUUAAAAACAGAAAAAAAUAAAAAUAAAAAGGGAAAGGAAGGAAAGAACCGAAGAACUUCUACCUUGCGCCGGACUGCGAAAUUGCCGAAUUAGAAUUGGAAUUGUCUGUCCACUGAAGAGCUCUUUUUAUAAGUGCAGAGGUGCGUCCUAUUUUGGUAUUUCUGGCCACGUGCGGUGAGUCUCCGCGAGAGUGGGCUGCGUCCGUGAGUUUGGAGUGCUGGCCACAUGUGAGGUGCUUGGUC
rnacentral:lncRNA from 1 species